CAGUCGCCACGGGAAUACGUAGGGUGCAAGCGUUAAUCGGAAUUACUGGGCGUAAAGCGUGCGCAGGCGGUUAUAUAAGUCAGAUGUGAAAUCCCCGGGCUCAACCUGGGAACUGCAUUUGAGACUGUAUGGCUAGAGUGUGUCAGAGGGGGGUAGAAUUCCACGUGUAGCAGUGAAAUGCGUAGGUACGUGGAGGAAUACCGAUGGCGAAGGCAGCCCCCUGGGAUAACACUGACGCUCAUGCGCGAAAGCGUGGGGAGCAAACAGGAUUAGAUACCCCAGUAGUCCCUGUCUCUUAUAA
rnacentral:rRNA from 1 species